ensembl:lincRNA
CCUGCCCAAAACUGUGCAUGUGGCUCUCUAGAGUCUUGCAAAAUAUGGAAAAAUGAUUAAACUGGACUAUUUUCUUCUGUGGUGGCCCAGGCCCUGGUGAAUGGGCUUGCUUAAUAUUUUUUCUGACCUAUCCCAAUUAUCAAUAGCUAAUGUCCUUACUUGGAGAAACCAAUGAUUACGUUUAACGAUUUCAUGUAACAUUCUUGACAAAGACUGUGUGCUAACCUGUGCUCUUGCUUGUUUAAGAUCUUUUUAAAUAACUGUACAUAGCAUUGUUCUUCAACAGACAAAUUCUGCUCCAUAGCCCCAGUUUGAAAAUUUGCAGCAGUUACUUACUUUCAUUUUUGCCAGAGACCUUUGGAUUUCUCCUUGCAGGAUUCUCCUUUUUUGUUGUAUUUCUCAUUCCUUUGGAACUUCUUCCUUUCAAGUUCCUGUUUGGGCAUCAAUUUUAGGAGCCAGCCUGCAAACUUACCUCGGAGGUAUGAUGAAGAAUAAAAGAGGAAGAGAUAAAUUUCCAAGAAAAGGGGACUGGGGCCUCCCAAGAGGAUAAUCAAGAGGAUAUCUCAAGAGGACAAGAGCACUGGGAGUCUAGAAGUUCCACUUUUUAUUAGUAAAACAAGACAAUGUAGCAAUCCCACAACCCAGGCUUGAUAAAAUGCAAAUGAUUAACAAGAAACAUAACAACUUUACAUCUGGAAAUGUAAUUUUCUUUGUGUAGUUCUAGCCUGUUGUUGCCCUGCCCAGGAGGUAUUGUGUGUCACCAUUCCCGCCUACAAAGGAAGGGACAGUCUUAUACGCCCUAUGCCAUUCCUAGGAAAGGUCAACAAGGCCCCAGUCUCUGUCAUUGAUAACGCAUCCCAGUCUCCCUAUGAGUUUCACAGGUUCUAGCCCAGAACCCAUAAACAUGUUGAGAAAAAAUACAAUUUGCUGGAUCCUAAGAUCACUCUGUGGUGUGUGUGUGUGUGUGUGUGCGUGCACGCGCACACAUGUGUACACACUUGGAAGAGAAAGACAUCUUCGAAUGUGUGACAAACCAGAGAAAAUCGAGAUCAAUAAAGUACUUGAACUUACUCUUCUGAUAUUAAGCAAAUUCCAAGGAGGAAUGACUGCAUGUGUAACUGAGAGAGGCAAAGCUCCAGAGGGCUGCAAAGGAAGAGAUAAACUCUACCCAGUGAUCAUGACCAACAUGCAAGAAUUUUGAAAAAUUCUACAUUAUAUGCAGAACAGGGAGAGGGCCACAGAGGGUGGGAACUUUCCUUGAGUGGGAGCGAGGAGAACACAUUGUCACUGCUACAUUCUUACUGAAUAGUAUCCUUUUUUUUUUUGCUUUUUUCUGGUACCGGGAAUCGAACUCACAAUGUUGCGCUUGCCAGGCAGGCGCUGUGCUGCUGAGCUAAAUCCCUAGCCCCUAGUAUCCUUAAUCUAUAGGAAAGACAGCACAUACUAUUGCUAGUCAGACCACUGGUAAAAUCUAUUGCAGGUAAGAGGAAGAAAGUAAAGGAGGAAAACUCUAUCACCGAGGAAAAGUCAGCAGAGACUUGGUCUGUGUGUAAGGCUGAAGCUAUAUAAGAACAAUAUAGAACACCCACUGCCCACCCCCCUGCCACCAGGUUAUCAAGCAUAGAGUAAAAUGGACCUUGCUAAAGGGAGAUUAAAACUGAGAUGUGGUAGGAAAAAAAAAAAGACAAAGAUGCUGAUGGAAGAGAUGUUGAAGAAAAGCAUAAGCAACUGCACAAACCCAGAAAAAUUACCCCCUACUCAAAAUGUGAAAAGUAUUUAUUUAGAGGAAUUUCAAGAUUAUUGUGUACUGUCUUAGUUACUUUUCUCUUGUUGCUGAGACAAAAUACCUGACACCCAAAGUUAAGGAAGGAAAAGUUUAUUUAGCUCACAGGUCACAGAGGUUUCAGUCCAAAUCAGCUGGCUCCAAGGCAGGGUGGCACAUGGCACAGGGACAAUAGUUCAAGGUGGCAGAAGACAGCAAAAGGAACAGCAACAAAAUAGGGGGAGCAAACCAGUUUCUAUCAUUCAUAUUGCAUGGAGACAUCCCACCGUAGAGUGAUUACAGCAUUUACAUCACCAAUUCCAGCAGUAGACAAUGAACCAAUCACAAACUGUGGAUUCAGCCACCUUGGAAAAGCACAUCCGCCAUGACCACAUGAGAAUCUGAGGGGACAUCCAGACACAAACCAUAACAUUCCACCCUUGGCCCCUCAAAGAUGCAUGCACACUCCUUUAUGCCUAAGUGCAAAAAUGCAUUUAGUCCAUCUCUAAGAGUUGCCAAAAUCCUAACAGUUUCAGCAUUGCUACAAAGUCCAAGUUCCAGUUCUCUUCCAAGAUGUAAGGCAAACUCUGACCUGCAAGCCCCUGCACAACUGAAAAGAAAGUUAAACACUUCCAACAUUCAAUGGCAUGAGAUAAACAUUUCAAUUCUGAUAGUUAAAAUGGAGAUACAAAAGAUUGGGACCAAAGCAAGUCGGAAAUCUAGUAGGGCAAAUAUUAAGUCCUAUAGUUCCAUGUUCAACAUCCUAUGUAACCGGUGGUAAGUUGUAAACUCUGAAGGGCUUGUGUUUCCCACCCCUACAGCACUUUCAGUGGUUGUAGUUCCCAGGGAUUCUCUUUUAGGCACACUGUACUUCUUCUUUUCAGGAUUUUUCAGAUGAUCCAUGUUCCUGGCUUCUACAAACUUCUGGGGUCUUCACCGAACCUUGGACUUCACUCUCACAGUUGCAUGCAUUGCCCUCGCAGUGGCACACUGCUUGUCCUCUCAGGAACUUGAAAUCUAGGUGGAAACUUUCUUAACCUCACAAUUCUUCCAUUCUGCAUGUGCCUAAAACCAGCGCCAUGUGCAUGAUGUUAAGGUCUGCUGGUGGCUAGAGCAGUAUCCAGGCUUACCUCUCUCUUGUCUUCAGAGAUUGAGUGCCUGGAUCACUGGGCACCCUGAAUCCAAUUCUAAGGAACAAAUUCUCUAGGCCACUGCCAUUCUGGAAUCUGGUGUGGCCACCACCAUCAUUUGGGCACCACCUGGUGCUCUGUGCCUUUCUUUGCAAAGCAAAGACUUUCACUUUUGCAAUUUGGAGCCUGCAAAGGGUGGAGACUUACUGCUUCCUGUGAUGUGUGCAGGUCAUCGUUUUUAUUUUCCUGUUGCUUCUCAUCAGUAAACAUCUUCUCUGCUCUAUCUUUGCAGGUCACAGCUUUACUACAGCUUACUUUCUGGUCAAACUCACAUUUAAAUCUUUCUGCUGUCCUUUUUGCUCUUGAUUUUCAACAUAAAUCUGACUAAAAGCCCCCAACAAUAGCCAUGUCUUUGCCUCAACAUUUGACUACCUUCAAACAUCUUCUGCCAGUUUAAUUAGUUCACAGCCCUUAAUCUCAGUCUCAGGUGAAGCCUCUGAAUAUGAACAAAAUAAGGACAAACUUUUUGCCACAAUACAACAUACAUUGUCUGGAGUCCAACAGCCAAUACAGUCCUUCUUCCCAGAAGAAAUCUCCCAAGCCUUUAGCAACAAGAUUUCUGGUCUUCUGAGCUCUAACCAGAAUCUCCCACACAGAACAGCUUGAGGUGUUCUAGCUCUACUCUUUUAGAUGACAUCUCUGAAACAUUCCAAAUUCUUCCCACAAGCUAUUCCCAAAGGCUCUUGAACCAUACAGUCAGGUGUUCAUGGCAAUAACCCCACUUCUGGUACCAAAUUCUGUUUUAGUUACUUCUAUAUAGAUCAUAUAAAGAAUUAAAAAACAUCAAACUCUUUAAAUUCAAAGACACAAUCCAAUAAUGAGCAUUUGAGAUGAAGAUGUACUUCUCAUAUGAAGAAAUUUAAGUGGCCAAUAAAUAUACAAAAAAUGUUGAACAUCAUUGAUCACUUCACAAAUGCAAAUUAAAACAACAAUGAGAUUCCAUUUGACUCCAGAAAGAAUGGCUAUCAUCAAGAAAUCAAGUAUAAAUAAAUGCUGGUAAGGCUUUGGGAGAAAGAAGAACCCUUCUCUACACUCGGUGCAAGUGUAGACUGGUAUAAGAACUAUGGAAAUCAGUGUGAAGACUCCUAAAAUAAUUAGCAUUAGAAGUCCCAUUUGACCCAGCUAUUCCCCUUCCUGGUACUUUCCCAGAAGAAUUAAAAACUUCACACCACAGCAAUAUAUGUGGCAUGUUUAUAGUAGCACAAUUUGUAAUAGCUAAAUCUUGAAAACAACCCAAAUGCUCAACAACUGAGGAAUGGAUAAAAAAAAGGGGUAUUUUUAUACCAUGGUUUACUAGGCAGCUAUGAAGAAGGAUAAACUUGAGGAUUUUGUAGAUAAAUGGAUGCAACUGGAGACUCAUAAAUGAAAUUAUUCAGACUCUCAUGUGUAACAUCAUAUUGUUUCCCUAAUGUAAAAAACUAAAAGAGUAAAUAAGAUCCAAAAAGUAUAAUAGAUACUGGGAAAUGGGAAGAACUGUUAAAAGGAAAGAGCAACUGGGAUGGGAGACAGGAGAUAAAAAGGAAAGGAAAAGAAAUUAUAUAUAUAUAUAUAUAUAUAUAUAUAUAUAUAUGUACACACACAAGAUAAUUAUACUUCUAAUUUCUAUUAUGUCAUUAAAAAUCUUUGUGCUUAUAUUGUUUGAUAAUUUUUCAUGUCUCUAUCUUGUAUUCUCAACAACUACUUUGAAUAUAAUAACAUACAGUAUAUUAACCAUUGUUCCUCUCCUAUUACCUUAUUUUGAAAUUUUGUAACAUUGUUUUUAUUGGGUUUUCUUUAAAAAAAAAACUUACAUAAGGAGACCUUGUCUCAAAAAACAAAAACAAUAACAAAGGAUCCAAUUACUUCAAAAGACAGGUAGAAACUGUUAGGGAGAAUUAAGUGGAAGUACCAGAAAUGCACAAAACAUUUAACAAUGUGCUAGUAUGAGAAUUUUUAAAAAUUCUCAAUUCUAGCUAUGAUUCUAAUUUCUUACUGUGACUAAGGAUGAAAAAAGCAUACAUACACGAAAAUUCUAAAUUCAAUUUUUUUCAAGUUAAGCAUGGCUAGUUUUCAUGUGAGCCGAAACUCUUUAGUAAUUAAUGUACAUUAAUUGUGCAUAUUAAUGGAAUUCAGUGAUGUGUGUGUUACUAGAUAUUAAAGCCAUGGAACAUUGAGUUACCCCCUAGUCUUAUCUAUUUAUUUUGAAACAUAGUCAUGCUAUGUUCUCUAGACUGGUAUGGAAAUUUCAAUCUCCCUACCUCAGCCUUCCAAGCAGCUAAAAUUAUAAGUGUGUACCACUGCACUUUGAUCAGUAUGAUAUUUCUAAAUUUGGGAAAAGGAUAGCUGCAUUUGAUAAGGGCAAGCAUAUCAAAUGUGCAAAAGUGAACAUUUUUCAAGUAUCAAGAUAAUCCAAAGAGUAAUUUACUGUAAUAACAAAUUUUUAUGUUUUAUUACUAUGAGACAACUGCACUGUGGUUAUUAUGCUUCAUUUUCUGAGAAUCAAGGCCUCCCAUACAAUAUUCAAAUAUUUUUCAGGAUUCUCCUCCUCAUUUCCCUAAAAUACCAACACAAACAAAAGCAUUAAUCUGCUGUAGGAUUAUUCUAAACUCUUAGAGCAAUUUCUCUUAUAGACAUUAAAAUUAUAUUAAAUGUGAGAAGACACAAGGAAUAACACAUGAUGUAUUACUAUGGUUCAGCUUAGUGUGUGAGUUUUUAAUUUUGAAAAUAUUGGAAUCGGUUGUGGGCAAAUAAAAACCAUCUACUGAGGAAAAGAACUCAUCUUAAACCAGUGUCUGCUUAUGUGAUUAAAACUGCUUUUUCAGAAACUCAGUAAUUGACAAUAAUCUGCUUCUUAAUCUAAUUAACCUAUGAAUAAAUGGUGCAAGAAAUUGUGAAGAAUUCUGGGUGUAGCCUUGGGCCUUCUUGAUGGAUAUUACUUAUGGUGCUAAGCACAGUGAGCUAAGUCAUUAUGCUGUGAAUUGCAUGGUGAGAAAAGAAUGAAAAAAUUCAUUAGUAGUGUUUUAAAAACAAAGUCAUUUGAAGUGUUAUCAUAAGAAAAAAGAGAGAGAACAGAAGAGGAUAAAGAAGGAAGCUGGGAAACUAGCAAUGAAAUCAGGAAAUGUGCCCUCACUGAACAUGACCUCCUGAUUCUGACUCUGAUUACACCAAGGUGUUUCUGUCUCCACACGGCGCCUCACCCUCCCACCAGUCUUCUCUCUCAGAAUAAAUGUGUCCUGAGCUGGAGGAAAUAAUAGAGUUCUC